rnacentral:rRNA from 1 species
CCUACGGGAGGCAGCAGUGAGGGAUAUUGCACAAUGGGGGAAACCCUGAUGCAGCGACGCCGCGUGGGCGAAGAAGUAUUUCGGUAUGUACAGCCCUAUCAGCAGGGAAGAAGAAAUGACGGUACCUGAGUCAGAAUCACCGGCUAAAUACGUGCCAUCAGCCGCGGUCAUGCGUAUGGCGCAAGCGGUAUCCGGAUUUCCGGGGUUGAAAGGGAGCGCAGGGGACACGGCAAGCCUGCUGUGAAAGCCCGCGGCCCAACCGCGGGACUGCAUUGGGAACUACCGGGCUGGAGUGCCGGAGAGGUAGGCGGAAUGCCUAGUGUAGCGGUGAAAUGCGUAGAUAUUAGGAAGAACACCAGUGGCGAAGGCGGCAUACUGGACGGUGACUGACGCUGAGGCUCGAAAGCGUGGGGAGCAAACAGGAUUAGAUACCCGUGUAGUC